ACAGAAUUUCUAGGCAAAGCAGAAUCUAUUUGUGAUUUAAUAAAGCGUGUAAGUCGUUGGAAGGCCCAAGGACCAAAGGAAAUCAACAAAAGUAGGCCCACAAGGGGUCCCAAAAUUGAGGGCAACAAGUUUAGGGAGCGAUCUCUGUGGGAUCCGGGACAGACAUAAAAGUCAGUUUCCCUAAUGUUGGUGCGUCGAUGGACAGUGUCACAACCGACAUAUCUUUCAUUAAAACUAGACCCAUGAGGGGCUUCAAUUAGGGGGGUGUUCCAAGGCGAAGUGGACUGUUCAAGGUGCCCUUGUAAUAAUUGUUCCUGCACCAACUGUAGGGCCGCUUGAACCUUUUCUUGAGGCAUGGACCACUGAUCGAUCCAGACUGGAUCAUUUGACUUCCAAGAUAUUUUAUCAGCCUGGAGUGCAGGAGGAACAGCGGUCUCUAUGAAAAAAGGUCUGCUCCUAAACCUCCUCUAUCUGUUUUGGGCGUGGGAGUCAAGGGUUCUGUGAUUCCCUGUUCAUUUCUACCUAAUCCUUUUCCAGGGAGGAAUCCUGUCCUUAACAUUUGGUUAGUAAUGACCUCAUUGGGACUACACAUCAUCACCCCCAUCUGGGAAAGAAUAUCCCUUCCCCAGAGGUUAACAGGGAGUCCAGAAACUACAAAUGGCCUAACUGUGCCUGUAUUAUUCUCUUUAUCUUUCCAGGUCAGGAGCUUUGAACUUUGGAGUGUAUCCUGUGUUUGACCUAUCCCUUUUAAAUGUGUGGCAGUAGCCUUAAGGGGCCAGGUUGAGGGCCAGUGUCUAGAGGAGAGCACUGUUGUAUCGCCCCUGUAUCUAAAAGGCCCUGAAAUUGUUUGCCAUCAAGCCAAAGAGACAUCA
rnacentral:sRNA from 1 species